UCAGUCGACUCCUACGGGGAGGCAGCAGUGGGGAAUAUUGGACAAUGGGGGAAACCCUGAUGCAGCCAUGCCGCGUGUGUGAAGAAGGCCUUCGGGUUGUAAAGCACUUUCAGUAGGGAGGAAGGUAGUGUAGUUAACACCUGCACUAUUUGACGUUACCUACAGAAGAAGCACCGGCUAACUCCGUGCCAGCAGCCGCGGUAAUACGGAGGGUGCGAGCGUUAAUCGGAAUUACUGGGCGUAAAGCGCAUGCAGGCGGCCUGUUAAGUCAGAUGUGAAAGCCCGGGGCUUAACCUCGGAAUUGCAUUUGAAACUGGCAGGCUAGAGUCUUGUAGAGGGGGGUAGGAAUUUCAGGUGUAGCGGUGAAAUGCGUAGAGAUCUGAAGGAAUACCAGUGGCGAAGGCGGCCCCCUGGACAAAGACUGACGCUCAGAUGCGAAAGCGUGGGGAGCAAACAGGAUUAGAUACCCUGGUAG
rnacentral:rRNA from 1 species